ACGGUGACAGGUGGUGCAUGGUUGUCGUCAGCUCGUGUCGUGAGAUGUUGGGUUAAGUCCCGCAACGAGCGCAACCCUUGAUCUUAGUUGCCAUCAUUUAGUUGGGCACUCUAAGGUGACUGCCGGUGACAAACCGGAGGAAGGUGGGGAUGACGUCAAAUCAUCAUGCCCCUUAUGACCUGGGCUACACACGUGCUACAAUGGACGAUACAAACGGUUGCCAACUCGCGAGAGGGAGCUAAUCCGAUAAAGUCGUUCUCAGUUCGGAUUGUAGGCUGCAACUCGCCUACAUGAAGCCGGAAUCGCUAGUAAUCGCGGAUCAGCAUGCCGCGGUGAAUACGUUCCCGGGCCUUGUACACACCGCCCGUCACACCACGAGAGUUUGUAACACCCGAAGUCGGUGAGGUAACCUUUUGGAGCCAGCCGCCGAAGGUGGGAUAGAUGAUUGGGGUGAAGUCGUAACAAGGUAGCCGUAUCGGAAGGUGCGGCUGGAUCACCUC
rnacentral:rRNA from 1 species